GCUUCGAUAGCUCAACUUGGUAGAGCAUAGGGCUGAAAACUCUAGGGAAGAUGUUCAAGUCAUCUUCGAAGCA